GGCUACGAGAACGAACGCUGGCGGCAUGCCUAACACAUGCAAGUCGAACGAGACCUUCGGGUCUAGUGGCGCACGGGUGCGUAACACGUGGGAAUUUGCCUCGGGGUAUGGAAUAACUCAGGGAAACUUGAGCUAAUACCAUAUAAUGUCUUCGGACCAAAGAUUUAUCGCCCUGAGAUAAGCCCGCGUAGGAUUAGCUAGUUGGUGAGGUAAAGGCUCACCAAGGGCGACGAUCCUUAGCUGGUCUGAGAGGAUGAUCAGCCACACUGGGACUGAGACACGGCCCAGACUCCUACGGGAGGCAGCAGUGGGGAAUAUUGGACAAUGGGCGAAAGCCUGAUCCAGCAAUGCCGCGUGAGUGAUGAAGGCCUUCGGGUUGUAAAGCUCUUUUACUCGGGACGAUAAUGACGGUACCGUAAGAAUAAGCACCGGCUAACUACGUG
rnacentral:rRNA from 1 species